rnacentral:rRNA from 1 species
GACGAACGCUGGCGGCGUGCUUAACACAUGCAAGUCGAACGGUAAGGCCCUUCGGGGUACACGAGUGGCGAACGGGUGAGUAACACGUGGGUGAUCUGCCCUGCACUUCGGGAUAAGCCUGGGAAACUGGGUCUAAUACCGGAUAGGACCCUGGGAUGCAUGUCCUGGGGUGGAAAGCUUUUGUGGUGUGGGAUGGGCCCGCGGCCUAUCAGCUUGUUGGUGGGGUGAUGGCCUACCAAGGCGACGACGGGUAGCCGGCCUGAGAGGGUGACCGGCCACACUGGGACUGAGAUACGGCCCAGACUCCUACGCGAGGCAGCAGUGGGGAAUAUUGCACAAUGGGCGCAAGCCUGAUGCAGCGACGCCGCGUGAGGGAUGACGGCCUUCGGGUUGUAAACCUCUUUCAGCAUCGACGAAGCGAAAGUGACGGUAGGUGCAGAAGAAGGACCGGCCAACUACGUGCCAGCCGCCGCAGUAA